rnacentral:ncRNA from 1 species
GCCAUCUCAACGGGUGCCGGCUAUGAUUAAUAUUGUUAAUAGCUGGCUGAGAAAAACUCGUCGAACCUGAUUCGAUUAACAUCGGCGUAGGGAUUUGAGCCACUCUAAUGA